rfam:Bradyrhizobium lablabi strain CCBAT 23086 scaffold33, whole genome shotgun sequence.
CGGGGGAAAUCGCAGCCUCCCCGUGAAAUGGUGAUCCCAUUCAAGCGCUGC